UACGGAGGGGGCUAGCGUUGUUCGGAAUUACUGGGCGUAAAGCGUGCGCAGGCGGUCUUGCAAGACAGAUGUGAAAUCCCCGGGCUCAACCUGGGAACUGCAUUUGUGACUGCAAGGCUGGAGUACGGUAGAGGGGGAUGGAAUUCCGCGUGUAGCAGUGAAAUGCGUAGAUAUGCGGAGGAACACCGAUGGCGAAGGCAAUCCCCUGGACCUGUACUGACGUUCAUGCACGAAAGCGUGGGGAGCAAACAGG
rnacentral:rRNA from 1 species